UUCCUAUUUCAUAAAAGCGCUUAAUGUGCUGUCAUCAAGACUGCUGUGGGGGGGGACUCCUCCCCGCUGCGUUCAGGCGGCCACCCCCUCCCCUUACCCCUAGGGAGGCUGUAACAUUUCUGAAGCUUUAUGAAUUCGAGGGAGAAAGAUUUCGCACAUCAGGGGGAAAAAGGAGGUUCUGACUCAGCAACAGACUUGUUGAGGCUUGCAAAAUGGAAGGGGGCAGCGAGCUUUCCAUGGCAGCGCUCUUGUUGCAAGCAAUAGAACUGAUUUUGUAUAUUUCCUUUCAUAAAUAAAAACUUGACAUACAGAAAAACAGUUAUAUGAGGCUCUAACAGCAAAAUGAUUCAUACAACAUAAAAGAUAUGGAUAUUUUUUGUUUCUGUUUUGCAACGUUAAUGUUUUCCGGGCACUUAGAUCUAAGUGAAACUAUUGAAUGAAUCCUAGAAUGUAGAGUACUCCCAAAGAGAGAGAAAAUGGAUUCACACUCUACUUGAUUUUGCUUAAAACUGGGCUAAGAUAAAAUAGUGUCAUAAAUUAGCAUACACUCACUGAUGUAGGCAGAGUGUACAUUUUUAUGAGUCCUCAUUCUCUUAGUUCAAUUUCACUUCCACUUUUGUUACUCCAGUGCUUCAAAUUUAAAUAAAUCAGAAUAAAUACAGUAGAAAGAGAACAACAUUGCAAGGGAGAAAUAUAUUUUAUGUAUAAUGUGUAUAUCUGAUAGUGUCUUUUACAAUAAGAAAAAAGUACUUAAAAUUCAGAGAUGACUCAGAAAUUGCUUAGGUGCAUAGAAAAUUAAUUCAAGUUAAUACUCUCAAAACCAUUUUUAACAAUCAGGCAAAAUAUAGAACUGGAAGUACUUUUAUUAUUCUAAAUUAUAUUGCCAAGAAAAUAAACUGAGCUCAUUAGAAUUAAAACUAUAAAUGGCCAUUUUCACAGCACUUAUUGACACAUUCUUAACUAUUAUUCAUUAAUGUAUUUUAGAGGAAAAAACUUUCAGCAGCCAAGGCAUGUAAAGUCUUAAAAAUGAACAAUUUUUUUUUUCUAAAUAAGGUUAUAUUUGGUUGGAAUGAGCUGCAGAUCCAACAAAAAAUCUUGAAGGAGGAAAUGUAGGCAUAAACCUUCACUCACCCAUUAAAAUUGCAGACAGCAUACAUUUAAAAGCUAACCAGUGCCAUUGUGGGUUAAAGUUUGACAAGAAAAAGAUUUCAUGGUGUUCGGAUACUGGUUUUGUUUCAGAGGAUUUGGAGCUCUUCCAAACCGAGGGAAGCCGGCAAGUUUGCUGUUACGUAACAUGAUCAAACUCCACACCAGGCUCACUAAAUCCCAAAGUUCGAAUGCCAGGCCUCCACUCACUGCUUUCACUUCGCAGAGAGUGUUAACAAAGGCUUUAGUUUUUAAUACGAGGAAAAUUGCCUUCCGAAAUGUAGAACUUGUGAUCUGUCCUGCUCCCUGUGAGUACAAUUGUCUGCUCUACUACUCAAGAAGAUAGACUCCUGAGGUAGACAGCUGGGGAAGGAAGGCUCCGGAGAAGGAGGCCAUGGGAAAAGCAAGACAACUUUUUGACUAGCAGCACAUAGUUCUUGGAGGACUUAGGAACUCUGUUCUGAUCCUGGCAAGAUUAACACGCCAUCUUCCUCAAUGCGAGAGAGCUAGUUUGAACUGCAGACCGGUGUAAUCUUUGAUAGAAGCUGGGAGAAGGUUUAAAGCCACCAUCAUAAAAAUGCUUCAAUGAACAAUUACAAACAUGCUUGAAACAAAUUAAAAAGUAAAAACCUCAGCAAAGAAUUAGAAUCUAUAAAGAAACUUGAAUAUUACUAUGUUUACAGCAGCAUUAUUUAUAAUUGCCAAGAUCUGGAAACAGCCCAAGUACCCAUCAUUAGGUGAGUGGGAAAAAAAAAGCUGUGGUACAUUGACACAGUGGAAUACCACUUGGCUGUAAAAAGGAGGAACUCUUAUCCUUUGUGACUGCAUGAAUGGACCUGGAGAAUAUUAUGUUAGGUGAAAUACGUCAGUUAGAGAAAGACAAAUACCAUUUGAUCUCACUCAUAUGUGGAAUCUAAUGAACAAAAUAGAGUGAUAAGCAAAACCAGGGGCAUGGACACAUGGAACAGACUGACAGAUCUCAGAAGGGAGGGGGUUGAGAGACUGGAAGAGAUGAGCCAAAGAACAUAAAACCAUAUAUACAUAGCCCACGGACACAGACAACAAUGUGAUGAAGGCCCAGGUGUGGGGGGACUGGGAAGAAGGGGACAAAGGGAGGGGGAAAUGGUGAACAUCUAUAAUAGCAUCAAUGAUAAUAACAAAAGCACCUUAAAUUUUAGAACCUCAAAAUAAAAUAACCGGAAUAAAAAAUUCAAUGGAUGAACUCAACUGCUGAAUGCAGCAACCAGAGGAAGGACAUAGUAAAUGGAAAGAAAGAACAAUAGAAAUCACCCUGUCUGAAUAAGGAGAGAAAACAGGCUGAAGUAAAUAUGGUCAGCGACUUAGGGACCUGUAUGACCAUGACAAAAGACCCAACAUCUGCAUCACUGAGGACUGGAGGAAGAGAGGAAAGAGGUUGAGCCUGACAGAGUGUUUGAAGAAAUAAUGGCUGGAACCUUCCCAAAUUUGGCAGAGGACACAAACCAGUAGAUUGAAGAAGCUAAGUGAAUGUCAAACAGGAUGAACUAAAAAAGUAAAAAUCCAUGCCAAGACACAUUAUAGUCACUCAUGUAAAAAUUAAAGAUGAAGAGAAAUCCUGAAAGCAACGAGAGAGAAACAACUUCUCUCUGCAGGAAAAAAAAAAAAAACGUUCAAGUGACAGCAGAUUUCUCAUCCAAAAUCUCAGAGGCCAGGAAGAAGUGGUAUAUUUCUUAAGUGAUGAAAGAAGAGAACUAGCAACUCAAAAUUCUAGAUCUGUUAGAAUAUCCUUUAGGAAUAAAGGGGAAAUCCAUGGAAAGGCAAAGGAUCUAAGAUUGCUAAAACACAUGUGAAAAAGAAGACUGGAAUAUGAGGAAUCACUCUGCCCAGUGUUAAGACUUAUGUCGCCAUAGUCACCAAGACUGCAUAUUGCUGGUGGAAGGAAGGAAACCUAGAUCAAUGGGUCAGACUGGAGAGUGAAUCCAGAAAUAAACUACACAAAAUCACCCAACUGAUUUUUUGACAGAGAUGAAAAAGUAAUUCAAUAAAGAAAUGAUCAUCUUUUGAACAAAUGGUUCUAAGACAAUUAUAAUCUACAGGCAAAUGAAUGAACUUCAACCCAAACUUCACACAUUAUACAAAAUUUAGCUCAAAAUGAAUCAUAGAUUUAAAUACAAAACAGAAAUCAUUAAUCUUUUAGAAGAGAACAUAAAGGAGAACAUUUGUACUUAGGGUUGGGUGAAGAGUUCUUAGAAAUAACAACGCAUGAUUCAGAGAAGAAAAAGUGGAUAAACUGGACUUCCAAAUUGAAAACCUUUGCUGUAGGAAUGACAUUCUUAAAGGGUUGAAAAGACAAAAUACAGACUGGGAGAAAAUAUUUGGAAGCCAUUUAUCUGACAAAUGACUAAUAUUUAGAAUACAUAAAGACUUUUCAGCCCUGGCUGGUGUGGCUCAGUGGAUAGAGCGUCAGCGUCAGCCUGAGAAUAAGAGGGUCGCCAGUCAAUUCCCAGUCAGGGCACAUGCCUGGGUUGUGGGCCAGGUCCCAGUGGGGGUGCACGAGAGACAACCACACAUUGAUGUUUCCCUCCCUCUCUUUUCCCCUCCCUUCCCCUGUCUCUAAACAUAUAAAUAAAUAAAAUCUUUAAGAAAAAAGACUUCAAAAACAACAGCAAAGAAAGAGAUAAGCCCAUUAAAAAAUGAGCAAAAGUCAUGAAUAGACAUUUCACUAAGGAGGAUAAACAGAUGGAAAAUAAACUUACGAAAGUCUGUUCAACAUCAUUUGCCAUUAUAGAAAUGCAAAUCAAAACCACAGUGAGAUAUCAUUAUGCAGCUAUCAAGAUGACUCAGAUAAAAAAAUAGUGACAAUAUUGGUCCUGCAAAGCAAAAGGUCACCGUUUCGAUACCUGGCCAGGGCACAUGCCUGGGUUAUAGGUUUGGUGCCUGGGCAUGGCACACGCAAGAGGCAACCGAUCGAUGUUUCUCUGGCACACAGAUGUUUCUCUCCCUCUUUUCCCCCUCUCUAAAAAUAAAUAAAAUCUUAAAAUUUUUUUUGAAAUAGUGAUAACACCAAAUGCUGACGAGAAUGUGAAGAAACUUGAUCUUGUACAUUUGUUGCUGGUGGGAAUGUAAAAUGCUACAGCCACUCUUGAAAGCAGCUUGGCAAAUAAUUUAUAGCUUCAACAUGCAACGACCAUAUAAUCCAGCAAUUCCACUCUGGGACAUUUGUCUCAAGGAAAUGAAAAUGUAUGCUACAUAGCAGUCUGUGCAUGAAUGUUUAAAGAUGUGUUAGUUGUAAUAGGCAAAAGUGGGAACAGCCUAGGUAUCCUUCAGUGGGAGAAUGGUUAAAGCUCCGCACGUCCCUCUGUAUAUUCACCAUCUGUUUGGUGUCAGGACCCUACCAGGUGCUUAAAUACAUUUGUGACUGACGUCUUGGAAGGUAAAUAUUAUUAUCCUAAUUUUGUAGAUUAGAAACUUGAGGUUUAGCCAGAUUAAAUACCUUAUUCAAGGUCACUUAAGGCAGAGGCUGGAAUUUGCAACCAGGCUUUUUGAUAUUCCAAAGCUCAUUUGCUUCCCAGUAUAGAGGCUGUCAUGGAUGUUAGGUAAGGAGACUCUGCUUGUUUGUUAUUCUUUGUGACCUGGAAGGAUGUAACUAAUGGUCUUACUUCCUGUGUAAGGACUGGUUCUGUCAGCUGACCCCCAGUACAAAGCCACUGCCAAAGAACAGGCUUUCCGUUUCUGUAGUUCAUGUCCAUUGCUUUUAGCUGGGCCUCUGCAAAGGCAUGUCAUAACAUUCGAUGAGUCUUACUUCUCCAAGGAAGAGGGUGGGCCCAGUCAAACUUUCCUCUGUUGACUCAUUUCAUCACAUAAAAGAACUAAUGCUUGUUCUUUGUUAUAAUUAAGUUUGCAUCUGUGGAGCCCAGAACACUCAGUUGCUCAAAUAACUGAUGGAAAUAACUUUGUUCUGCAAUGCGUAUUCCUCUCCUUCAGGGUCAACUAAAACACAACCCUUGCUAUCCACAAUUAUUCAGCAGGCGUGGCUGGAAAAGUUGACCCAUCAUAUUUUAGCAAUAGAAGGAAUCAGCAUUCAAUGAAAAUAAUCAUUUCAUAGAGAGGCAGAAUGACUGGUCUAAGUCACACAUAUGCCAUUAAAUUUACAGCACAAGUCUUAGAUUUCUCAUGAGGCUCAGAUAUGAGUGUGGCCAACACUUCUUUCUACACUCUGAGCUCUACUUGCUACUGGUUCCAGGUUUUAUGACAGUAGUUCAUGUUUUGUGAAUCAACCAUCAAUAAUUUAUUUAAAAACAAAAAAGCAAAUCUCCAAGAUCCUUAAAUUUAGAAGAAAUGGCAGCUACCAAGUAAAAUGGGGGCAACUAAAAUCUUAUGAUUAGAUGAUUCUAGAAAUUUCAAACAUGGUAUAGCUGGAAAAGCCCAAGAACUGGAACUGGCAGUCUUGAGUUAGAUGACUAACACGAGCUACCUAAUUGGCUCCGUGUCCUUAGCCCUGAUUCUUAAUUCUGAUUCCUCCAACUAACUCUCCCUUGGUUCUUGUUUGGUUCUGGAGAUUCAAGGAUGAUCAAAAUAAUAAUGAUACCUGCCUCUAUUUAAGUCAGUUUUGGUGCAUGAAAGAAGUGAGAUAGUAGAUAUGAAAGCUCUUUGUGAAGUAUACAAUUCUAUAAAAAUUAGACAUAAUCUAAUACUAUUUCCAAUUGCAAGUAUAUAUGGUAUCACAAAUGGAGCUUGAAGAUAAUGAAAACUCUCUGAGCAGAAACGGAAAAUACAUUUAUAUCGUGAGAUUAUGAAGCCUAAAAAUUGAAACUGGAUAGAGUGCUUAGCAAACAAUUGCAAUGUGUCCAUCACUUGCUUAUUUUCUGUGUGUUCCCCACUCAUAUAUAAAUAUAUAAAACUUUUCUAUCUUUACUAUUAUUAUUCCAGCUCUUAAA